CAACCACGUGGGGGAGGGGCGGAGGGCUCUUUCUCUUGGCUUGCUGUCAUUUUUCACUAGCAACUUGUUGUAAUGAGACAGCAUUACUUCACUUCUGAAAUGAGAUGAUGGCUGUGAUCGAGAACUCAACCAGCGCUGUUCCCAUUAAAUGGGAAUACUAUUAUGAUUAUCUUGACCCUGUAAUUGUGAAUGAGAGCAAGCUGAAAUACAAUAAAUACUCAAUUGUUAUAAUACUUUGGAUCUUUAUGGCUGCCUUUAUGGGAUUGCUCUUUCUCAUUUUGACUCUAAUAUCUCGCAGAGGAAACUUGCCAAGGCCUCACAGAUCCAAACGAGAGGUCACGACAUUGACUGAAGCUGAAUGAGAUGUGAAGAAAAAGGUUAAAAAUGAAGGCGAUGGACACAAUUCAAAAUCCAAAUGAUACAAAUGCAAUGAAUGAAAGUUUGGAUAAAAGGUUUUGAGACCAUGUGUAAAAAGGCAAAGAUUCGGUUUUCUUAGCAAUUCAUUCAAUACCUACAAAGUGCAACGCUACCAUUAUUCACAAUGGUGAAGUGACUUUUCUCCUGUCCUUUACCCUGCACUGUGUCCACGUGCCCCUGCCCUACAUGUUAAGUACAAGGAGAGCACUGCAUUGAAUCCAAUUGAUUAAAUGAAGGCCCUGUUUACACAAAUAUGCUCGUGGGUGAAAAUAAUAUUCUGAUAAAAAUGUGCCUUUCGUUUACACGCACCAGCAGUUUUAGGGGUUAAAAACGUAAAAAAGUGAAACCAAAUCUAAAAACACGCUUCACUGUUGCGUUCCCAUCUAAUGGCUAAAAUCACACUGUGCGUGUGUGUGUCAUGUGUCUGUGCCGUGCGUGUGUGUGUCGUGUGUAUGUGGCGUGGGUGUGUGCAUUGUUUGAAGCAAUAACUCCACCUCCUCGUCUGGCCAAACAAAAUUGUCAGCUUUUGUUGUUUGCGUCACGCUACGAGGGAGAGAAGAAGGAAGGUUGUACGCAGGCGUUCGGACUUGGUGCUUCACACUGCCACCUAGCCCCCUGGCAUGCAUACUACAUCAAAUUUCACACACUUUUGCGUCACCAUGUGCACGCAGAAUCGCAAAAUAAAAAGUGAGAACCCAACGCCACUUUUGCGUUUUCUCUUCAGAUCGUUUCCGUCUCAACAUAGCC